CGGGGAGUAGCGCAGCCCGGAUAGCGCACCGCGCUUGGGACGCGGGGGUCGCUGGUUCAAAUCCAGUCUCCCCGA
rnacentral:tRNA from 1 species